CAUCGCCGGGCUGCACCGGCACGACACCGGCACCUACGAGGUGCAGGGCGAGCCGGUGGUGUUCGAGUCGCCCCGCGACGC
rnacentral:tRNA from 1 species